CCUACGGGUGGCAGCAGUGAGGAAUAUUGGUCAAUGGCCGGAAGGCUGAACCAGCCAUGCCGCGUGAAGGUCAGUGCCCUAUGGGCGUUAAACUUCUUUUGUGCGGGAGCAAUAAUGGUCACGUGUGGCCAGACGAGAGUACCGUACGAAUAAACAUCGGCUAACUCCGUGCCAGCAGCCGCGGGAAUACGGGGGAUGCAAGCGUUAUCCGGAUUUUUUGGGUUUAAAGGGGGCGUAGGCUGUGAUGUAAGUCAGCUGUGAAAUGCCCCCGGUAAACGGGGUGAAGUGCCAUUGAUACUGGCUGGCUUGAAUGCGGAUGCCGUGGGAGGAAUGUGUGGUGUAGCGGUGAAAUGCAUAGAUAUCACACAGAACACCGAUUGCGAAGGCAUCUCACGAAUCCGCGAUUGACGCUGAUGCACGAAAGCGUGGGUAUCAAACAGGAUUAGAUACCCCUGUAGUC
rnacentral:rRNA from 1 species